UACGGGGGGAGCAAGCGUUGUUCGGAUUUACUGGGCGUAAAGGGCGCGUAGGCGGUCAGCACAAGUCAGUUGUGAAAUCUCCGAGCUUAACUCGGAAAGGUCAACUGAAACUGUGCGACUAGAGUGCGGAAGGGGCAACUGGAAUUCUUGGUGUAGCGGUGAAAUGCGUAGAUAUCAGGAGGAACACCGAUUGCGAAGGCAGCUCGCUGGAACGUUACUGACGCUGAGACGCGAAAGCGUGGGGAGCAAACAGG
rnacentral:rRNA from 1 species